UGGGGAAUUUUGGACAAUGGGGGAAACCCUGACCCAGCAACGCCGCGUGAAGGAUGAAGUAUUUCGGUAUGUAAACUUCGGAAGAAUAGGAAGAAUAAAUGACGGUACUAUUUAUAAGGUCCGGCUAACUACGUGCCAGCAGCCGCGGUAAUACGUAGGGACCAAGCGUUGUUCGGAUUUACUGGGCGUAAAGGGCGCGUAGGCGGCAUGACAAGUCACUUGUGAAAUCUCUGGGCUUAACCCAGAACGGCCAAGUGAUACUGUCGCGCUAGAGUGCAGAAGGGGCAAUCGGAAUUCUUGGUGUAGCGGUGAAAUGCGUAGAUAUCAAGAGGAACACCUGAGGUGAAGACGGGUUGCUGGGCUGACACUGACGCUGAGGCGCGAAAGCCAGGGGGAGCAAACGGG
rnacentral:rRNA from 1 species